GCUCAGCCAUUCCACCCACACCAAGCCCUCCUCCCCUUCCUGUCAGGAGGAAGGGGGCGUUCACAGCGAGGCCAUCUCUCUACAUCUCGUCCUGGAGAUAAAGGCGGCCGUCUCAGACCUAGUUGCCCAAAAGUGAAGCACAGGGGGCCAGAGGCCACCGGGGAGGGAGGGCCUGUGUGCAGCGGUCAGGUCUGCCGUGUCCGUGUAAGACCGGUGGCCAGGACAGGACAAGGAAGGCCCAAAGCCCGGGCAUCAGAGCAGGUCAGGGGCCCAGACAGACCCCAGUGGGGCAGCACCAGCUUUGCGAUUGGGGUGCAGGGUGCAGAGGGGAGGUGGCCUCCCCCAACCCCUCCCCAUGCAGGGCCCACUUUGCCUCCGUCUGGGCUCACCUUUCAGGGGACAAAAGCCACCGAGAGACAGCCCCACCCAAAACGAAAGUGGCCAGGCAGCGGGGCGCCAAUGUCUUUCCCGAGAGGGGCCAGAGGGGGAGACUAUUAAAUAUUAAACAGGGGAAGUGGCUUCCAAAGAUGCUGUCAUUGUUCUCCGCACCGGCCCAUCUGUCGUCCCCUUUCCCAGCAAGCUCACGCUUUGCUGGGCGCAGAGGGCCGGCUUGGGCCACUGGGGCGGCGGGAUCUUCCGUCCGGGAUCCUCCGAAGCCUCGAGCCUCGGGCUGGCCUCGCGCGACUCCCGGCCCUGUGCCCCGUCCAGCCUGCCUGGCUUUCUUCUUAUUCCCAUUUUUCUUAGUCUGCAUGUGCAGUGCAGACCGAUUGCACUCAUCUCCAGGAGUGGGUGCCUGUCCAGACAGAUCUUUUUUUUUUUUUUUUUUUGGUACCAGGAAUCGAACUCAAAACCUUGCGCUUGCCAGGCAGGAGCUGUACCGCUGAGCUAUGUCCCCGGCCCUGUCCGGGCACAUCUUGAAGCAGAAAGUGACGGUCGGCUCACCUGCGUUCAGCGGGCGUCGGGCUCAGGCGACACAGAGAGUCCUCCGGGCGUCCCGAGGGCCGCCCCUCAUCAGCGCCCAGGACUCCGGGCCACCGCAAGGGCACAGAUCCAUGGCACAAGUCCAGCUGGAGGCAGAAGCGGGUGCCGGGAGAGGAGCGCGCGCUGGGAGCAGGGGCCUCUCCAAGGCAGCAGGUUUCUUUGCAGCUCGAGUUAAUUUACUCCAAAACCUAGGUCGGACUCAGGUCUUCCUCCCCACGCUGGGGAGGGAACCCGGGGUCUCCAGUGCUUCACCUGCAGGUCCCGUCCCGCCACCACCCCCGCAGCCGGGGCUCUUUCCAAAGGCCUCCUUCUCACCAGGAGGGUCCUGCGUUCCCCUGUGAGCAAUAUCCACGGCACAGGGAGUCUCUAUAUUUUUUUCCCAAGAAAAGAGAGAGGAAGACAAGGACAAAGCACAGCAAGUUGCUACCUGAAGAAGCAGAGUGAGACUGGAGUGGGGAUUCUCUCAGUUGUUAUGUAUUCCUCCCUGUAUUUGUGAAUGCCUGAGGAUUUCUAUUUUAAAGAGAUGGGAAGGUCCGAGGACAGGAUGGAUGCAGGCCCUGCUGACGGGCUGGGAUGGCCUCUCCGUGGUGAAGUCCAGCCCCUAAUUCAGCAGCUUGGGGAGAGCACUGAGAAUGCAAAGGGCCUGAAAGCAAAGAUCACUUGUGUUUAUCUUUCCUCUCCCUUUCCGCCCCUGAAGAAGUAGCCAUGAUAUUUUGUAAAUGCGGCUGUGUGCCAAUAAAACUUUAUUUAUAAAAACCAGUUCCAAGUUAAGCCAGCCCCCAAGGUUAGUUUGAUCUGCCAGCUAUAUAAACAUUUAUCAUUGGCUCUGUCUACAGUGCUUUUACAUAUGUGCCAGGCUCUGACUCUUGUCAGAGAGUUGUGUCUGCUGUGUGACCCUGGUCAAGUC
rnacentral:lncRNA from 1 species